CGGCACGGGUGAGUAAUGCGUAGGAAUAUACCUUAAAGUGGGGGAUAACCUGGGGAAACUCAGGCUAAUACCGCAUGAGCUCUAAGGAGGAAAGCUGGGGACCUGAAAGGGCCUGGUGCUUUAAGAUUAGCCUACGUCCGAUUAGCUUGUUGGUGGGGUAAAGGCUUACCAAGGCGACGAUCGGUAGCUGGUCUGAGAGGAUGAUCAGUCACACUGGGACUGAGACACGGCCCAG
rnacentral:rRNA from 1 species